UUUUUAUAGUUAUUUUCCAUAAGGAUACCAACACUGUUCACCACUGCCGAGGCAUCACGAAGAACAGGAAGUAAUGAAUUUGGAUCUUUUUGAGCAUCCAACGUCUCCCAUUCAACAUCAUCCAUCCAUGGUUCUUUGUUAUGCAAUCCUCCAGCUCCUCUUCGGGAUACUGAAACCACCUCGUAACCCUUAGCAAUGGCUAAUUUGCAAAUAUUAUGCCCUAAAAAGCCUGAACCACCUAAAACAACAAUUUUCAUACUUAAAA